rnacentral:lncRNA from 1 species
GAACUUCCAGCUUCUGCUGAUGGUGUAGGCAUCUGGAAAAUGUGUCUUUAUUAAAAUUACAUUUAAAAACGAGUGAUAUUCAGGGUCAUGACUUUCUGAACCCAUCAGAGAGCUGAAUUGCAGGGCAAUUAAAUAGUUUAAAAUGAAGGAAAGAGAGGUGCCUCCUACAAUAACAGAGAUGGGCUGCAAACAUUGGAUGACCUGUGGCAGAGCACGGAAAGAAGGCAAGGAUGACAGCUACAUGCAGACAAGGUCUCCAGAUUUGCCACCCAUGCUGAGUGCCGUGGUGUGAUCAUGGCUUAUUUCAACCUCAACCUCCCCCACUCAAGCGAUCCUCCUGCCUCAGCCUCUGGAGUAGCUGGGACUACAGGCACGCACCACCACACCCAGCCAUAAUUUGCCUCUUGCUGUAACUAAAAGGUCACAAAAACAAAGAAUUCUAAAAAAUCUUCUUCUUAAGUGGUAUGUUUAGUAUUUAUCAUGAUGACAAUGUUCUAAAUUGCACCUGCCUCCACUAGCAGAAUGCCAGGAUUACUGCCAGACAGAGAAUUCGGACUGCUGGUCCAGGGACAUAGCUAUGAAAUGCACCAAGGACAGCAGAGUGUGUUUUGGAGAAAGCCAGGUAGCUCUUGAUAGGGCCUAUAUGAGUACUUAUUCCUGCUGAUAGGAAAAAAAUGAUUAGAAAAAUCUCAUUUCUUUAUUCAUUUCUACUCUGAGAGCUUUUUACUUCUAGAAACACGGUCUUAGUUUUCUGUGUUAUUAUGUUUUUUUUUUGAAACUGACAAAAUUUCACAAUUAAUUUAUGUUCAUUCAAAUGUUUAAUAAUUAUACCUUGAAUUUGUCUUAUAAUUAGUAUUUUCUUGUUAUUUCCAACAAGAGAAAGUGUGCAGGAAAAGGGACUAGAUCAGGUUGAGAGAGCCAGGGGUGUUCAGUCAAGCAGGCAGAACUCAGGACACUGAACGGGGUGAGUAUGAGGCAGCCAGAGUCCCCAGACCCGCAGAGGAGGGUCCAAAGGACAGCUUUUCAUGAUCCAGGAAGGAAAUCUCCUUCAAUAACGUCUCUCCUUCAAGAAGCUGGGGGUGUCGCUGGGAUUUAACGUAGAGAUUCCAGUCUUAGAUUGAGGGAAGGAAGGGAGGCAAAAGGAAGGAAGCCUCGCAUCCUCAUGCGAAGAAGCCAGCUUGUAGAAAUGAAGCUCAAAAUGAUCCCUACAGCACAAGCAGUCCAGGGCAUGUGGACUCCUGCUGGGUUGGGGCCAGGACAGGAGAAGAAAGUUUGAUACAGGCCUGAGGCUCGGGAGCCCUGCACUGGCUGUGCGUCUCUACAACCAUCCCAGAGUCGGCCCAGGUACCAGGUCUUCUGGCUCAGAUAAAGAUCACACAUGACUCGCCUGAAAACUUGAGGCAGAGGUGUGCCAUUGUCACAAAAGGCGCUGUCAGGGUGGAGGCUCAGGGAAUGAUAGAGGAGCUCUUGAAUCACCCUGGAGAAAUUUUACCUCGGUCAGACAGCUACAGAGCCGACUUAAUAUUUUUAUUUAAAAUCUAGAUUAUUUGGGGGCUGGUUUGGAAAUGGGGGAGAUCUGUGAGUCCAGGCAUGGUAGCAGGAAGAGAAGAGGCUUCCUUGUAACCCUACUGACUCUUCCUCUCACUUGUCCCAAAAGCACAGGGUGAGAGACAAGAACAUUGGUACAGUGCGUUCAGGAAACUUUUCAACUUUUUAUGUGUAGUGUACCAAAAUAUUUUUUCACACAUGCAAAGACAGUGGUCAGGGGCUAUUCUGGCUUGUUAGAAAAAAGGAUGUGACGUUUUCCAGUCCCUGGGUGGGUCUCAGUUCUCUUAGAGGCUCUGCCUCUCACUCACACCUCUGCUAGAGGAAUGCGAGGAAGCUCUGACAAGAUUGUGAUCUGGGGACACGUUUGCCACCUCAGCGCCAAGGCUGACGUGGGGACAUGGGCUACUCAGUGAACGCACUUUACCCAGGAUACCAAGGGCACUUAAUGAUACCGACAGUUCUGUUUACAUCCUUCUCCACUGCCUCCAGCAUCAUUCAAGGCGUAAUCUCUUGGAAAAGUUUGAUUAGAAUGAAUUCUAGUUUGGCGUAGGUUAUUAUGCACCUAAAUUGGCUAAACUUAGCUUCAUAUAUCAAACAUAAGAUAUACAUCUCUAGAGAUGCGUCUGUGGAGACCUCCAUAGGCACCAGUAUAUAUUAUUCUAAGUUUUACCUCUUUUCUUGUGGAUUACUAACUUUGUGGUUCUCCCUUGAUUAGGUUUAUAUGCAAUUUUCUUAGAAAAUGUCAACUCCAAUUCUGCAACAUACUGAGCCCCUUUAUUGGAAACUUCAAAGUUCCUAGUCCAAUCCUAAUUCUAGAUCUUACUUCAUAUGUUGCUUUUAUCUUCUCUUGGGUAAUGGGUCAUUUCAAGGGUGAUUUUUUUGACUUUAUCUUAUUGGGGAUAUAAGUGCAGAUAAAGGAGAUACAGACGAGCAUUUAAUUUUUUUUUUCAGUGCAGUGAUUAUGGAGUCAGGGUAGUAUUUCUGCUGUGUAUGGUAAACUCCAUAGGAUCUCAUUUAUUCAUGGUUAAAGGCUUUCCUGGGGAAACCAGUAUGCUAACUUCAGGCAGAUAAUAAAACCUGAGGUAUAUGGAGAGUGUCUACUUUGACACAUUCAGGGCUAGCCCUCUCCUGCUGGUGCAGUUCAAUGUGAAUUUAGUCAUUUGUGGUCACUUAACAGCAAAGAGAUCUUUCUACAGAGUCUAGCUGUGCUGAUUAUCAAACUGGGGAAAAUUGAUGGCCAUUUGUUAUGGCUAAUAACACAGGUGCCGGUCAACUUUAUAAAAAUGUAGAAAAGUAUUUGCGGUGAAAAUUAUCCUAACCAUUGUGGAAAAAUGCCCAUCCCACUUCAAUUCAUAGCUGAAUACAUAUAGGAACUACAGUUCUCAGACCUGCAGUGAGUUCUGACCAAUGGAAUUCAGUGGGAUGAUAGAUGCUGCCUUUGAAGCCACCCCAUCAACUGGCUCAUCUCCUCCUGUCUCAGCUCUUUCUCCUGCUGCAUCCUGAUGCAGGACCACUGCACAACCUCACAAACCUUAUGUGGAAAGUAGUGGAGCCACCAGAUGUUAUGGGUAUCCUUUAAUGGAGAACUUUACACUACUUUGAAAUGACAGUUUUAUACUUUUCAUAAGAAAGAAAUAAACUUCCAUUGUACUAAGCCACUGUGUUUUGGGCUUUGUUGGUUAAAUGGUGAGCAAUAUCCUAACGAUUGCACUGAAACACCACUUCUCCACCAUGGGAGCAAUGGAACUUAGAAUUGUAGAGUGAACAAGGUGGAUGACAAGGAAAAUAAUGGGAGCAGGCAUUUUAUAUAUACAAUUAUGGAAAGCACACCAGAGUCUUCUUUCUUUUAAUGUAGCUGCUAUGCUCCUCGGAUCUUCCAGUUAGAAAUGUGUUCUAGGAGAUACUCAGAACUGAUCUUCGAGGUAGAUUGACUCUAGGUGGGUUAAGGUCUGUGACUACUGUGUUCACUCAGCAUGCUGGGGCUCUGAGGCAGAAUUAAAUAAAAAUAAUCACCAUUACUCCUAGAUGGCAUGUCUAAUGUGCCUAAAUUUAGGAUAAAUGGCUAACUGUACAUACACACACACACACACACACACACACACACACACACACAGAGGCACACUUAUGUAGCAUGUCAGUUAUAUAAUACAAGAUAUUUCACUAACCAGAAAAUAAACAAAAGAAGCCAAAAUGUGACUCAUUCCUGGUGGUUCCCGGGAUGGCUUUAUAGUUAUGACCCAGACUGGGUAACCUGUUGUCAGCAAUCAGAAUGUGGUAUUAAUUAGAAGUACUAAGCUGAGGGAUUACCAGCCCCCGGGCCAGAAGCAGAAUCUAUAAUAUUUAAACAACAAUAUGUGAGUAGUGUAAGUAUUAGCUCAAAAAUCAUUUGUUUUUAGAAAAAGGAAAUUAGGAAUUGCCUGCCUGUGUUACAAUUUUAAUGUCGUGAUUCCUUUUGUCCAGCUGAUGCUGUGUCUGCUGAUGUGGCAGCACCUUGCCUGGGCUGUUGUGAUGGCUCAUUCGUUCCUCAGCAGUUUCAAAGUGGCUAAUGAAAUUCAGGCAACCUCCCCUCAGAGUUUCUUGGUCCACCAGUUCUUCUAGUUUUUGUUGUUUUGUUUUAUUUUGAUUUGCUUUUACAUUUCCUUACAUUUAUUAUGGAUGAAUAGCAAUUAAGAUCUUCAAGGACAGAGUGGGAAAAAUAAAAUUUAUUGUUUUCUAAUGUUCAAGGAUUUUAAAUAAAUUGUUUUGGGAGCUGUAGAAUAAGAAUUUUAAUAACCCUAUGGUCGUUGUUAUAAUGCUAAAGAUAAUUUAAACUUGUACAAUAGAUACAUAUUUGGUACUUUCUAAUACAUUAUUACUGUAUCAUCCAUCAUAGAUUGAUUUCUAGUGUAAAUAGAAUGUAAUUCUGUUUAGGUAUGGAACAAAUUACUUCCGCCAUAAUGGUAUAAAUAAUUGUGAGAGAAAUUGAUUUAUAAGAAAGAAGUGUGAUCCUAGAAUCCAAAUAUAUUAGUGCAAGAAUUUACAGGUAUUCUAAAAUAGUUUCUUUACCCUAUAGGUGAAAUCUCAAAUCUGGUUUCAGAUUCCUCAGCAAUGUUUCUUGAUCUUAUCUAUCCAAAAAUACAUCAUUAGUUACCAGUACUUCUUUUGCAUUCUAGUCCAUUAUUCUCACGGAGCAUUUCAGGACUAUUUUCAAAUUUUAAUUUAACUUUCUUCCACCAACCAUAAAAUAUCCUUACUGCUAUCUCAAUCAAUUAAUCUUCCUAGCCCCUUCUUAUCUCUAUUUAUUUUUAUAAAACAUGUAUAGCUGCAACCACACAAAUACAACAACAAAAAAUGCGGACAUUUAUUUUAGCAAAAUUUACAUAUAAAUAUUGUUAACAUAAAAUGUGAUUUAGACAGAAAAAGACCACCCAAUUUUUUAUUUGAUCCUAUUGGCAUUAUGGAUUAGGAUUUAUAGUGAAAUUUAUGCUGAAUGAAAAUGAUUUAAGUUCUGAAAAUGUCACAUGAAAAAAUAAUAACCUAUUCAUUGAACAUGAGUAGGUACUAUUGUAUAUGCAUAUGUAUACGUAUACGUAUACGUAUAUGUAUAUAAGCCUGUGUGAAUAUUUGUAGCAACUUGGUUCAUAAUUACUAAAAAAUAAGAUAUCCUCCUUACCUUUUUAAUAUCUGUAGGACAUGUAGUUAUAGUUUCUUUUUCAAUCCUGAUAUUGGUAAUUUGUGUUUUCUCCUUUUCUUUUUCUUGUUCUGCCUCACUAAAAUUAUUGGUUUAAUUAAUUUUUAAGAAAAUCACUUUUAGCUUUUUUUUCUUUUUAUGUUUAACAGCUUUAUUGAGAUAUAAUUCAUAUACCAUAAAGCUCACCCACUGUAAGUCUACCACUUGUCUUAGUCCACUUGGGCUGCUAUAACAACAAUUCCAGAAACUGGCUGGUUUGUAAAGAACAUAAAUUUAUUUAUUACAGUUCUAGAAGCUGGGAAGUUCAAGACGGAAUGAAUUAACAGCCUGUCAUAUACCCAUACAAUGGAAUACUUAGUAUUCAAAAAGAAAAAGAAAAAUACUAUCAAUUUACACAACAAUUUGAAUGAAUUUUAAAUGCAUUUUGUUAGGUGAAACAAUCUAAACCCAGAAGGCCACAUAUAGCAUGAUUUCAUUUGUAUGACAAUAAGAAAAAAAUCAAAAUGAUAGAGGCAGAAUAUAAUUCAGCGGUUAGUGAGAAUAAAGGGAUUAAUUCUAAAGAAAAUGUUUAUAAUAAAAACACUGUUCUGUAUGAUAUAAUGGUGCUUGAUAAAAACUACAUUUGUUUGUCAAAACCAAUAGAAAUGUACAUUAUACAUUUUACUGUGUACAAUUUUUUAAAAAGCAGGAUGUCAGUGGAUCCAAGAAUAAAAUGUACUCUGCAAAAAAUUAGCCUAAAUGCAUUAAAUAUGUCACUUAAGAGGGCGUAGAGAAAGGAAGUGACCUAAAUUCCUUUGGAAAACAGUAUCUCCAGUGAACACCAGGAAGCUAAGAAUAAAAGAAACUGUACAAAAACAUUGUACCCUAGUUGGCAAACUUUCUUCUUACAGGGAUAUAUGUUGCCAAUUCUGAAACUAUUUUACACAUAUACUAGAGUUGAAGAAAUAAGGAAAUAAAUCAUAAAUAACAGGGGCUAGGAUUCUCACUUUCAGAAGAAGAAGUUACUCAUAAACAUCAUGGACAAAUAAAAUCAAUCCUAUGGUGCUGAAUUAGCUUUGGAAGUAUCAGUAUAAGCUCAUUUAUCUUAAUGUAUAUUUAGAUAACACACAAAUAAAUACAAAUAUGAAUGUAUACCUGGGCUGCUAUACAUACCUGUAUCUCUUAGCUCUGUUUGCCAAGAGUGCCUAGAAGCAGUGAGCCCCCAGCAGCAAUGAACACGCCUAGUGCCCGGAUUUUGGUUUCUAAAUGCCACCCUCCAAUUAAAAGAAACAGAAAUUUUGGAAGAAGAGCUGAUUUUAGAGUUGGGAUGAUAAAUACACGAUGAGCUUGUAGUAUCUUGUUAUGUCAGAAAGUAAGAUGUGCUUUGUUUCUACCAAAGAAAGAAAGAAAGAAAAAAGAUAGAGGCAUUUCUAAAGGACACAGAAGAUAACCUAAAAAAAUCCCUCAAUGUACAAAUCUAGAAUUUGAAUUUGAAUAAUAAUAAUAAUGGUAUUGUUGUAGAGAUCUCAAAGAAUGAAAUAUUCAUUUCAAAGAAUGAAAGUUCAUAUUGCUGUAAAUAAGUGAUUAAAUAAAUAUAUUGGCAAAAGACACAAUUCUUUACAGGAAAAUUCAAAUAAAAUAUGAAAAUAACUUCCUUCCAAACACCAUGAGGUGUAGCUUAAUUCCUCUUUCCUGGAGUGUGAGUUUGACUUAGUGAUUCUCUUUUCAAGGACAUAGUCUGGAAAGUUAGGAUAGUAACUUUAUGCCAGACAAUGCCUUAAUCAAGUGACCAAGGUGAAUGCUGUGUGAUAAGUCAUGCUGUGUUGGUGUCACAUAUUCUCACAUUUUAUGUGAUAGAGACACUUCAUCUCUAUGAUGCUCUGAAAAACAACCUAUAGCUCCAAUAUAGCCAUGAUAAAACUUCAGAGACUCAAACUGAGGGACAUUCUACAAAAUGCCUGAACCAUACUCUUCAAAAUUCUCAAGGUUAUGUAAACAGGAAGAUUGAGAAAUUUUCACAGACUGGAAACUAAGGAGACAUGACGAUUGAAUUCAAUGCAGUCUCUUAAGUCAGAUCCUGGAGAAAUAAAAGGAUAUUAAUCGGGAAGCUCAUAAAAUCUAAAGAUGCUGUUUAGGUAAUAGUAUUAUGCCAAUGGUAAUUUUUUAAUUUUGCAUUAAUUUAAUAAUUUUGGAUUACAGUUGUGUAAAAUGUUAACAUUAGGGGAAGCUAAGGGAACGUCCCUGGGAACUCUUCAUACUAUCUUUGCAAUUCUUCAGUGAAUCUAGCAUUAUUCAAAAAUUUUUUAAAAGUUUAAAAUGUCUGAAAAGUAUAUUUCUUAUAUAUCAAGUACAACAUGUUUAUAAUUUGAGAAACUUUAAAUAUAUGUCAUGGAAAUGACCUGAGAUGAUUAUCACCCUGCAUGUUCAGGGCUUCAAUGUGAGUUUAGUUUAUGCAUUAAGUCCUCUAAAGAAAGCAACUAUAAAUAUUAAUCAGAACUCUUCUCUGACCUAUAUCAUAAUUUAAUAUAACAUUCUACAUUUAGAAGGGAACUUAAAUAAAAUCUUUUCAAAUUCCUUAUACAAUAUUGUAAAGAUCUCUUUCAAUGCUUACAGACACAGGCAUGUGUCAUUAUCCAACACUCGGUUCAGAAAAUCUUUUUAUUGAGCUAACACAAAUAUGAAUUUCAUUUUUAUCCACUAUGUCACUCUAAGCUUCUUAUUUUGACAGAAAAUAAAUCAAUUAAAUAGCUGUAGCACUUGUAUGUGCACAUCACAAGGGUAAAUAAUCCCAAGCAUUUUUUGUUUGUUUCAAGAACCCUUGUCACUCUUUAAACUGCAUUUAAAAAUCUUUAUGUAUUCCUCACAGUGUCUUACAAUUGGAACGAAAUGUAUUAUACCCAUUGUUGUUUGAUUGAUCAAGAUUUAAGAGGAACCAGAGAGCUCUUAUCUACAUAUUUUCAUUCUGUACCAUAACCUAAAUUACCAUAAGCUCAUCACACUAUUGAAAAAUAUUGAUGUUGUAUACUCAAAUUACUUCCACCUAUAUUUCCUAUAAGUAUUUUGAUCCCACACUUUUGAAUUAGUUUUUCCUAGAAUGAAUAAAGCUUUUUAGUUAUUGUCAUUAUACGAUUCAUCUUAUUGUUUUGCCUUUCAAAAUUAUUUUGAAUAAUUAUAUUCCAUUUGUUUCAUAAUCUUAAAGAUAGAAUGUUAUCAAUGCCCUCAGCUGAAUCAUAGAUAAUAAUAACUGUGGGUGAAGGACAGAAUUACAAAAUACAACUUGUGCGAUUCUCCUCCAUGUUAAAGUCUACUGUCUUGGAAUUUACUAAGAAUGAACCAGUCUAACAGUGUAUGUAGCAUACAUGCUUCCAUUUUUUUCAUUAACUUAAGAGAAAUAGUAUUCAAUCCUUUGGUGAAAUUCGAUGUCUACCAAAUGUGUGUCUGUCUAGUACUGAUUACAAGAUUAUAAAAAUAUAAGUUAAAUGUACUCUGUGUUAGAGAAUAGAUGUUUGUCCCUAGUGAUGGAAAGUGCUUGUGUGUGUGUGUGUGUGUGUGUGUGUGUGUGUGUGUGAAUAUAUUUUAAUAACCAAAGCUAGAUAUUGGGCAUGAUUACAUCAGAGUGACUGGUAUAGAUCUAUAGAAUCUAUGCAAUCUACCUUCUGUCUUUCCAAAGAUAUAACAACUAAUUUUGUCCUUUUUAGACUAAAACUUUAUUUCACAUAAUCUAUUAUUUUUCAAGAUCAUUGACAUUGUUUUAGAAAUAUAUUUUUGUGUCAUUAUUUUCUUAUAAACUUUAUAAAACACACUGAAGAGUCUUAGAUUAUUUUCAAAAUGAACAUAUAGGCAUCUUAAAGACAAUAAAAUUUAUAAAUAUUGAUGUAUAGAAAUUAGAUUAUAUGGAUAUAUCUGUUAUAUACAAUUAUUAUGUCUGUUAUAUACAGAUUAUUGUUAUGAUCUGAGUUGUCUUGCCAAAGUUUAUAUGUUGAAGACCUAAACCUUGGUAUCUCUCAAUGAAACUGUAUUUGGACAUAAGAUGUUUAAAGACAUAGGUAAGUUAAAAUGGAGUCAUUAAAUGGGGUUAAAAUGGGGCCCUAAUCCAAUAUGACUUUUAACAAGAGAAGAUUAGCACAUACACACACACAGAGGGAAGAUCAUAUGAAGAUACAGAAAGAUGAUUCCCAUGUUCAAGCAAAGGACAGAGGCCUCUGCUUGAAUAAUCAUCAUCAUCAUCUCAGAGUUCUAGCCUCUGGAAUUGUGAGAAAACUAAUUUCUUUUGUUAAAGCCACACAAUCUGUUGUUUGGGCAUAGCUUUGUUAUGGCCAGCCCUAGUAAACUCAUAAAUAUAUAACUAAAGAUUAUUUAGUUCUCAUUUUACAAAGAUGGCAAUUUUUUUUCAACUUUUAUUUUAGGUUCGGGGUACAUGUGCAAGGUUCGUUACAUGGGCAUAUUGUGUCUCACUGAGGUUUGGUGUACAAAUGAUCCUGCCACCCAGGUAGUGAGGAUAGUAACUGAUAGGCAGUUUUUCAACCAUCCCCUCCUCCAUGUGAGUGUUUCCCAGCAGCUAUCAUUUCCAUCUUGUUGCCCAUGAGUACUCAAUGUUUAGCUCCCACUUACAAUUGAGAACAUGCAGUAUUCGGUUUUCUGUUCCUACUUAAAUUCACUUGGGAUAAUACACUCUAGCUGCAUCCAUGUUGUGCAAAUACAUGAUCUUGUUCUUUUUUAUGGCUGCAUAAUAUUUCAUGGUGUAUAUGUACUACAUUUUCUUUAUCCAGUCCACUGUUAAUGGGCAUCUAGGUUUAUUUCAUGUCUUUACUACUGUGAAUGUCUUUACUAUUAUGAUGAACAUAUGCACACAGGUGUCUUUUUGGUAGAAUGUUUUAUUUUCCUUUGGGUGUAUACCCAGUAAUGGGAUUGCUGAGUUGAAUGGUAGUUCAGUUGUAAGUUCUUUGAGAAAUCUCCAAACUAUUUUCCGCAGUGGUUGAACUAAUUUACAUUCCCACCAACAGUGUGUAAGUAUUCCCUUUUCUCCACAGCCUCAUCAGCACCUGCUGAUUUUUGACUUUUUAGUAAUAGCCAUUCUGACUGGGUGAGGAUGGUAUCUCAUGGUGCUUUUGAUUUCAAAGAAGGCAAAAGUUUUGCUGAGAAUUACCAUGCAUAUGUCGCAUACACGUUUUAGUAAAAUAGCAAGCACAUAUGCAUACACAUAAUAGCCUAUGGAGGCUGCUCAGACUACAUCUAAUACAAAUUUUCAGUUUUGCUUCAAUAAGGGUGAGAUCACGAACCACCCAGUGAUAUCAGGAAAGAGCCCCUGCACUGCAUCCAGCUGGGUCAGCACUCCUGCCCUGACCGCGUUCAGUUUGCGCCAGUGGCUCCCUGCUGGAGGUCCCUAUUACUAAUCAGAGGCAUGAGCAUUUGAAAGCACUUUCUCAAUGUAGCUUUUAAAAAUGGAUUUUUUUAUUGGCUUUAUUUCCUACAUAUUUUGCAAAAUGCUUGCUAUAUACUGUUUCCUCAUUUUACGUGAUGAAAGUAAGAGAAUGAUUUUCUUGUUUUCUCUAACCUCUGUAUUUUGAUUUUGUAUUUAACUCUUCCUCAUUUUCCCACCUUCAUUCUCUGUCUUUAUCAAUGUUUUAAUGCUGCAGUGGUGCGACGAUUAUUUAAUAUCACUUUUGUGGAAUAAUUUUGUGUUUGAAGUCAUCAAUAUCAAGACAUAUCAUUGUGACAUCAAUGGUCAGUCAAAGAUUCCUAAGAACUUGACUACCCAACCUUGUGACAAAUUUGACGACUUCUCCUUUUCAAAUAUUGCCUAAUACUCAUAAACAUUUUGUUAUUUUUUUAUAUCAAAGGUGGACGUAAAAUAACAAGCAUGUCUGCUAUUUUCAUUUACAGAUUCUUUUCCUUGUAGAUGAAAGAGAUAGUUGGUUCCUCAGACUAGCAUAAGGCUGUCUUCUGAUCAUUGGCAAAUACUAAGCACCAACUUUUUAUUACCCUGAGUCACCUUUGAAUAGUAUCUUGGCUAUAAUCAUGAACUAGAUGCUAUUUCUACAUAAAGCUAAAGUAAAAAACACUUAUUUAAAAAUCUAUAGGUGAUGUACUGCGGAGUGCAUAAUUGUUUAAAGCAGCAUAGUAAAAAAGAGCUCUUUUAUCUGCUAAUGGGUAAAAAAUGGGUUGGUGAAAGUUGCUCUAGCAUCCCUGGAAACCAGUAGUUCUCAGUGCCAGAAACAAUGCAUUAACUUUUAACGUAAACUAUUUUGGAGUCCUUUGAGAACUCUAAGAACUGCUAUAUAGCCGUUGGAGUAUAUAUAUAUAUAUAUAUGGCAGUUCUUGGAGUUCUCAGAGAGAGAGAGAGAGAGAGAGAGUGUGUGUGUGUGUGUGUGUGUGUGUGUGUGUAUGUGUAUAGCGGUUCUUUGAGAGCUCAAAUAUAUAGAGAGAAUAUAUAUAUAUAUAAAUAACAGUUGGAGUAUAUAUAUACUCACAUAUAAUAUAUAUAUUCUAUAUAGAGAGAAUUACAUUAUCAUAUGUAAGCAUAAGCACAUAUUAUAUAUAAUUACAUAAGUUAUAGACAUAUAUACAUAUAAUUAUAUAUUCUCUAAAGUUAUAUAUUAUAAUAUAUAAAACUUUCAUUAGAAUCAUUACUAUAACUUACCUGAACAAAUAUGACAUGUGUGACUGAAAAUGGUUCACCUCCCUGGCAAAUGUGGCACACAUGAUGGACAGCGGGAGAAUAGAACUCCACUGUCUCUCAGCUGUGAUCUAUCCUGCCUCUUUGUAAUCUUGACAUUAACCUUAAUUGCUAAAUUGGGGGAAAAAACAAAUGGCACUUCAGGUUAUCCUCUCUUUGGGAGUCUUCCACCCAAAAAGGAGGCUUCAAAUAUCAAUUGGCUGAUAUACUCUAAUGGCUGCUAUUUCCUAAGCAGAUGCCACUGAAUUUCAUAUAAUUACCCUGACUCUACUAUCCAUAAUGAUUUUUAAGCCACUGAUUUUGAGCUAUCCAUUUUGAUUUUGAUGGAAGUGAGCUCAUCUUGAAAGGGAUGUUGACAAGCAAUAGAAUAGGAGAGCUCUUUUAUCCACAUAUACUAAAUAAAUCACUGGAGUUGAACUUGAGCUGAACUGUAACGAAUGUUCACCUGAUUCUGAAAUGAGCUAUAUUGAAUCAUGAUGCCACAGAAUCACAACUUCUACAAGAAUCUCAGCUCUCUGACGUCAGUGUGUUGUCCCGCAGCUCUAGGCACCUGCUGAGGUAGGCUUGGGAAAGAGGACUAGUGCAGAAUCAUGGACCCAUUUCACCCACUACAUGAAGCCAUCCCAAUGAGAAUAACAUUCCUGAAAGGAACCCUCUUGGAUGUAUCUGGGCCAGGCACUGGAAUGAUGUUUUGAAUAAUUAUGAAAAUGCAAUUUUGUUUUUUUUCUAAAAGAGUUGUUUCUAAUCCUUUUUUGUAUUUAAGGUAGUAAACAUAAAAUUUAUAUCUGCGUUUUCUAUUCUCUUAGAUAUUAAAUUCAUUGGUGGCAGAAACCAUACUAUUUCAAAGAAAAAGUGCCCCCCGAGGCAAGGCUUUUGUGGCGGAGGAGUUGUUGGGCAUGGUAGUUGGGUUCUUCCUGCGAGCCACGGUUGCAUGCUGAAAUUUGUAGACAAAACUCAAAUGUCUGUCAAGCAUGCUCAUAAUUAUAUUUUAAGUGCCUCACUACCACAAAUUAUGCAGUCAAGUCUCCCAUAUUUGGGGACAUCGCAGGGGUCAGCAUGUCCAGAGUGCAAUGGAUAAGCCUUGCCCUGGGAAAACCACCUUCGUGAUCAUGGUUAUCUCCCCUGCCAGGAUCUAACAUUGUGAUCGACACCAUCAUCCAGCCCAUCAUUCAAAUCUGAAACUUUGGAGAAGUAGUCAACAACUUCUCAUUCAGUUUCACCAUCCAAUCAGUCAUGGAAUCCUGAUGAUCUUUAACUUCCUCCACCUGGCCCAAAUAUCUCCUUUCCUCUCUCUUCCAAUUUUGUCUUUAUUCUCAUUGUUCUGUAAUUACACAAUUUUCCUACUGAUUUCUAGAAUGAAAAACUGCUGCAUUCAUUUCCAUUAUUAACAUUCUUCCACGUUUGUGUGUCUUUUGGGAUAACAACCAAGUAUUCUCAGAACAGCACUAUAAAGCAGUAUAAUGUCAAAGGGAUCUGAGAUCAAAGCUUUGUUCUAGAUAACAGACGAGAUUAGAUCUUGGCACUGUUAACACGAACAGAGGCUGAUGAAAGAGAAAUAAUCUGAGGAGGGUAUAAGGUUGCAAAGAAGGAAAAACAAUGCUAAAACGUUAAAGUAUAAAUAGCAGUACUAAUAAAGCCUACGAGGUGGUGGCCUAGCUCCAGAUAGUCUUUUGUUUAGCAGAAUACUUUGAUGGACCAGUUCUUUGAGGGAAAUUAUAUCGCAGAGCCUAAUCAAAAGAUGAAUAAAGAUAUUACUUUCCAGAAGCCAAGUUUUGAAUAGCUGGCCUUUGAGGGUGAGUGAUAAGCAGAGUAGAGAGGUUAAAUGGUGAGGUGAAUGCCAGGUGUGAUCCUGGGAGAUGAUUCAUGGACUCAUCCUGCAGAACCUCGAGAACACAGCCCUGUGAAUGUCCAGUAAAAGGUACAUGGGGGCACGUGGAUCUGGCAAUAUGAUUUUUCCCUACACAGAUUGACUUAGACCCUAAGAAGUAUGUUGCAGUACCAUUCAAGCAAUAGUUUUAGCUCUUUCAUUUAUCAACCCCCAAAAUAAUGAUCGGGCAGCUAAAGUGUGUACAGUUCUGUGCUGGAAGCUUUGAGAAAUGCCCAAAACAAUACGUUCAUGGAAUUUGUGGACUUGCUGACCAGGAGUUCUCUAUAACUUUUGUUAAAACCAACAAUCUAUGUUUCUACGUAUUUUCAGCCAUUCCCAUAUUUGAUUGACAAUAGAUAUUAUUACUAGAUGGUCAUGAGUUAGGUGUAACAUAGAAGAAAAAUGGAUUUCCAUGAAUAUGAGUGUAUUUCAUUAGUAAAAAAUAUUUAUUAAUGAUAAUAUUAAAGUGACAAAUAUAGUUUUACUACAUAAAUUGCCUGUAUAUACAAGUAAAAUACAUGCAUUAAUACUUUUCAGUAUAUUGUUUGAAAUAUGCUUCCUUUGCACAAAUGUUUUAAUCAAUUUGGUUAAUUUGACAGGUCUCGAAAUAUCAAGGAAUGGACAAUUUAGUUGAAAAUACCUUUAGAAAUUCAUAAAAACCAGCAAGAUGCUUUUGCCUAGUGUGCCAGAUUUUUCCAGUGCUGAAUUUUAAAAGGUUGUUAAGGUUGCUGUUAGAUGAAGUUUCCUCACACUAUCUAAAAAUAGAUUAUCUACAUAGCCUCUUCAAGUUCCGAACAUAUUAUUUUCCCCCAAGAACUUAGAGGACAAUCAAAUUCAAAUAAAAAUUUAAAAAGCACAUCAAAAAUCAUCUUGUUCACUGAUUCUCUUUGUUCCGAAUAAAGGACAUUCUUGUCUACUACUUUGGUAGGGAUUUUGAGAAUAGCCUCUGAAACACUUCUUUUCAGAGAGAAAUACACACACACACACACACACACACACACACCCCAGUAUACUCACCUGCCUUUUUGCAAUAUAUCUUGUGUUUUGCUUAUCCAUAGAGCUUUUCAUUUUAACAUCUCUGAAAUACAGAUAAGACACACAGUCAAGGGUGCCUGGCAAUCACUCUUGGCAGGGGUGCAUUUUCCAUAUAUGCUUAAAACUUCUGAGACCCAUGACCCAGGCUGUCCUCUUCCACGCUGUACUCCUAGGUAGGAACUGAAAAAGCUAUGUGGAUAAUAAGCAGGGCCAGCCCGGAAGGGUAGGCUGUCCUGUGCAAGAAGCCUGGCCUAUGGGGAGCACUGCUUUGCAUGGACCUCACCACACUCUGGGGCUCAGCCACAGAGGGGCAGUAUACCUGUUUUUCCCUCUAAUACAUACAACACAGCCUAUUGGAGCAUUUCUGUACUAGCCCCAAAUGUCAAAAAACAUCCUUUAAUCUCUUUAAUCUCUGAGCUUAAAUUUUGGUUUUACUUUAACUCUGUGAUCUUGGCAAGUUACAUAACCUUUUAGUCCAAAUGAUUGCUUAUCUGUAGAAUGGAAGUAGUCAUCCACUGUAUGGAUUUUUGUAAGAUUUUUGGUACAAUGCAGAUUAAAAUUUUUGCAUAGUGACUGGACCAUAGUAGGGGAUAAUAUAAGCCAACUAUUGUUAUCAUUUUUGUUGUUAGUUACCACCAUAAAAUCUAUUUUUAAUAAUUUCAAAAAUUAUAUUGAACAUUGUCUUUGAUAACAUCUGCUUUCAACACUUACGAUAUGUCUUCAAACUCACUAAUCAUAAAAGAUUUAACAUUCCAGAAGCCCAUCGGCCAGAUAUAUAAGUCUCUAAAAUAUACUUAAAAUAAUCUCCCCUCUAAUGAGCCAAGUAAGAGUAUUAGGAGUAUUGUGAUAAAGAAUUGGCAAAAAGAUUGAUAUCAAAGUGGAAGUUUUUAUUUGACUGCUCAAAUACAAUGAAGGAAUGAUUUAUUUCUUUGAUGUAAUAUGAAAAGUGGCCAGAGCCCUUUGAGGACAAUGAAGAACAAUGACCUCACCGAUGUACAUGCAGCCUAUUCCCCAGUAAUUAGACAAAUCAUCCAUUUUUGUUUACUUUGCCUCAUAUUUUGUGCUUUGACAUCAGAACUUGUUCCAUGUCCAAGUUUCCAGAUUUUUUUUCAAACUUUCAAAACUGAACAUUCAAUAUGUUUCUCCUGCGGUCUGUCCUAGCUGUCAUAGAGCACUUUACUCAUCACAUCAGCUGAAGAAGAUCACACCAUUGAUGAAAGCAAUAAUACAGCCAACAUUGUGCCAUAGAAAUAUUAAUCUGACUUCUGCUUAUUAGAUAUGCCAGAGGGCAGAAAUAAUGGAAACAAGUAUAUAAAUUGGAAUGCUAUUUCAAUAGUUUAGCUAAUAUAUAUUGGACUUGCUACCAUAAUGAAUAUGAUUGUUGAGAGAUGGGCACAGGUAUAAGAACUGAUCUCAGGAAUAAUAACUGAUAUUAAUUGAUUUGAUGAUGGAAAAGUAUAAAAUCUAGUAGUGAAGUUUGGAAAAUGAUACAGUUAAUAUAAAACACAAUUUAAAAUUGGGAACAGGUUUAAUAGGUCUGGAACAUUCUGGAUUUAUGUUCAAGUUAGCAUAGAAACGAAUAGGAAGUGAUUAAUAUUGAGACUAGUGCUUGAAAGAGAGAACAAAUAUGUAAGUUACUGGUAAAGAAUUUUCCACAUAGAGAGUGGUUCAGAAAAAGUAGCACAGCAUCAAAGAAAGAAGGUUGAAAACGUACUUUCUAAGACGUCUGGUGAAGGAGCUAAGAGGAAUACUCAAAAAGUGACAGAAACCUGGCUGUCCCAUGUCCCAUGUCAUGUAAAUCAAAGAAAGGGCAGAGUUCAAAAGAAAUAUUCCAGCAUUGGAGACUGUCAUAUAAUGAAGAUACAAUGCAGUAAACUGAGGAAUGGAAAAAGCCACUGGAUGUAUCUAAUAUGUUUACUACGGGUUUUCAAGAGAACAGUUUUUGUAGCCAGGAUCGAGCAAAAGCCUGGUUGAAAGGACAAAAGGUGUAAAACUGGAGAAGGAGGUGGAAAAUUAAAAGAAUUUGAAAGAGUUACAAAAAUGCCACCCUAAAAUAUGAUGCUUUGCUCUGCUGAUUACUUGGAACUGAGGGCACUUUGGAAACAGCAAACACAGGCAGUGCAGGCAGAGGCUUUCUCUGGGCUCUGCUCAUCUGUCCAAAGACGGGUCCUCCCAAAGGAACUCAACUGUCAUGAAUACCCUCCCUCGGCAUUCAACCAGGAAAGAUUAAAGGAUCACUGGAGAGAACAUUAGAAUUUCACCCCAUGCCCAUUCAAUCAUUUAUUCCUCCUAAAGCUGCAGAGACUGAAUCGGCAUAACAGGACAAUCUUUGUGCCCCAUACCUUUCCUCCCUUCACCCUUCUAUAACUUGUGUCACCACCACCCCCCAAGAACCCCACAAUUCUAUGCCUCUCAGCUCAGGAUGCUAUAUAAGCUUCAAUCAUCUGACCAUUCUUUGAGUCUCAUAUAUUAUGGGAUUCUCAUGUGUACAUAAUUAAAAUAUUUUCCGUAUUAAUCUGUCCCAUGGCAAUUUAAUUUUAGUCCAGUCAAAGAACUUAGGAAGGUAGAAGGAAGCUGUUUUUUACUCCCAUGCAUACCUCCAUAAUAGUAAAAGUAAUAUAUAUUAUAGAGCAAAAUACAAUAGAAAGAAAUCCUGAUAAAGAAUAAAGUCCAGAAUAAGAGCGAAAGUCAUGUUUUACAAAAGGAAAUACAUGAUAAAGUAAGAUCUACAGAGGUUGGAGAGAAUGCUGUUUAGUAAAUACAUUGUAGGUAACUUCUCAAAAUAAAAUCCUCAGAUAAAAAUGUAAAAAUUAAAUAAUCAAAUAUACAAUUUUUAUCAUUUAAAUUAAAUACAAUUAUUGAUAUAGUUACAUUUAAACCCAUCAUCUUACUAUAUAUUUAUUUUCUAUUUUUUCAUUUUACUUCCAUUGUCCCACAUGUUCUGGGUUUUUAAUUUUCUAUUUUCUUCCUUCUUUUGAUUAAUUAAUUGCUUUUUGUAAUUCAGUUAAAAUGUGCUGGCUUAUUAGCUGCAACUCUUCACCAUUUUAGCAUUUGCUGUAGUGUCUAGAGCAUACAUCUUUAACUUUUCAGAGUCUACCACAGUCUUUCAUGUUAUAUCCCAACAAUUCCUAUAGUAUAAGAAACUUACAAUUAUGUACUUCCCAUUUUUUAAUCUACAUUCUUUGUGCUAUUUUUUCAUGUAUUAUACUUUUACCCAACAUACACACAAUAUAUACACUUAUAUCUAUAUAUAUUUGUACAUACAUAUACAUUUAGAUGUGCUAUAAACGUUACAAUAUAUUGUUAUUAAUUAUACUUACAUUCAAUUUUAUCUUAAAAAUUUUAAAUAUGGCAAAUUGUGUAUAUUUGCUCAGGUAGUUCAUAUUUCCAGUGUUUUGCAUUGUUUUUUCUGUAUUCUUAUUUCAAUUUUAUACAUUUUCCUUCUCUCUACAAGAUUUUCUUUCAUACUUCAG